rnacentral:rRNA from 1 species
UGGGGAAUAUUGGACAAUGGGCGAAAGCCUGAUCCAGCCAUGCCGCGUGUGUGAAGAAGGUCUUCGGAUUGUAAAGCACUUUAAGUUGGGAGGAAGGGCAGUAAGUUAAUACCUUGCUGUUUUGACGUUACCGACAGAAUAAGCACCGGCUAACUCUGUGCCAGCAGCCGCGGUAAUACAGAGGGUGCAAGCGUUAAUCGGAAUUACUGGGCGUAAAGCGCGCGUAGGUGGUUAGUUAGGUUGGAUGUGAAAUCCCCGGGCUCAACCUGGGAACUGCAUUCAAAACUGACUGACUAGAGUAUGGUAGAGGGUGGUGGAAUUUCCUGUGUAGCGGUGAAAUGCGUAGAUAUAGGAAGGAACACCAGUGGCGAAGGCGACCACCUGGACUAAUACUGACACUGAGGUGCGAAAGCGUGGGUAGCGAACAGGAUUAGAUACCCACGUAGUCCCUGAGCGGGCUGGCAAGGCGCAU